CACAGCGAAGACGCGGAACGCCUUCCCUCCAGGAGGGUUUUGAAGGCUGCCGGGAAGAGAGGGACAAGAAGAGGAGUCAGUUUGGGUGCAGUGUUUUGCUAGGAGACAUAUGACAGAAACUAUGCAGACCAUCUAAAUGCAUAAUUACACCUGGUAUUAGCUUCACCUAAAAUACCACAUGUAUGACUCCAGCUGGCUGCAUUCCACCUGCGAGAGACCCACUGUCUCAGCAUGUUUGGAGAAGUCCUGCCCCCUUGGCAAGCGAUGCGAGUUUCAUGAUGCUGGAAGGUGUUCUGGAGAUGCAAGGAUUAUCCUGGAUGCUCUAAAAAGGAUAAAUAAAUAUCUGGGCCCAUCAGAGACUCUCUUCUGGGAUUUAUUGAUGUCAAGGACUUCUACAUUUAGGCUGUGAAACGUAAAAUGUGCUUUUCUAGUCAGUCUGAAAUAUAGAUUUGAUAGGUUUUCUUGUAGUUCCUACUGGAUAAAUAUACUCAAAUGAAACCUGUGUAAUUUUAAGUUUUUUUUUUUCUUUUUACCAGUUUUGCCAAUCAUUGCAGAUGCUGUGUGCUUUAUUUUCAUACUUAUCUUUCCUAGGUAACAUGAAUUAUGUCAUGACAACUGCUAUCAUUCACUAUGUCAAUUAUUUUGUUAAACAGCAAACGCAUGCUGUUAUUCAGCAUGUUCUCUUAUGUAAUUAAUUGAUUAAGUAAUUAAUUAUAUUUGGAUAACUGAUUCUAAAGAUGUUUUAUGUAAAGGUAUGAGCUAUUUCUCAUUCCUUCUUCAUCAGUAAAGCAUGUAAAAAGUAAUGAGAUAAUUACAAAGUGGGCUGUCUUAAAUGUUGCUUCCAGGGACAUAAAGCUAGGCUGAAACUGUUUGAGAAC